AUUGAACGCUGGCGGCAUGCCUUACACAUGCAAGUCGAACGGUAACAGGCCGCAAGGUGCUGACGAGUGGCGAACGGGUGAGUAACACAUCGGAACGUGCCUGAUAGUGGGGGAUAACUACUCGAAAGAGUGGCUAAUACCGCAUAAGAUCUCAGGAUGAAAGCAGGGGACCGCAAGGCCUUGCGCUAACAGAGCGGCCGAUGGCAGAUUAGGUAGUUGGUGGGAUAAAAGCUUACCAAGCCGACGAUCUGUAGCUGGUCUGAGAGGACGACCAGCCACACUGGGACUGAGACACGGCCCAGACUCCUACGGGAGGCAGCAGUGGGGAAUUUUGGACAAUGGGCGCAAGCCUGAUCCAGCAAUGCCGCGUGCAGGAUGAAGGCCUUCGGGUUGUAAACUGCUUUUGUACGGAACGAAAAGCUUCUCUCUAAUACAGGGGGGCCAUGACGGUACCGUAAGAAUAAGCACCGGCUAACUACGUG
rnacentral:rRNA from 1 species